AAUCAAUUUGUUUCCAACUAGAUUAUUUUGGCCAAUUCACCUGGAAUUCAGCACAUUAUGCCAAAACCUACUACAUGAGGUUCUGAUUUAGUUCUAAACUCAGGACUGAUUUUAAUAAAAUUGCCUGUCCAUGAGGAACACGCCUGCAAGCCAGAGGAUGGGGCUCUUGGAGCAGAUCAUAGAACCCAGGAGUUUACUCUCUAGUGCCUCUCGGUAUCUGGACCUGGGCAGCAGUGCUGGAGGGCGAGGUGGGGAGGGGGAUCCUGACAUAGAUGGCCUUGUGUUCUUGGCGGAGAAAGGUACCAGUUCCAAAGCCUGAGGCAUUGUUUGACUGGAGGAGAGGCCCUGAAUCCUGAUGUGAGGGAGAAAUGGAAGAGCCAGACGGGCCUGGAGCUGCAUGAAGGUUACGGCCAGUCUGAGACAGUUGUAAUCUGUGCCAAUCCAAAAGGCACGAAAAUCAAGUCAGGAUCUAUGGGGAAAGCAUCCCCACCUUACGACGUGCAGAUUGUGGAUGAUGAGGGCAACAUCCUGCCUCCAGGAGCAGAGGGGAAUGUUGCUGUCCGUGUCAGACC